AUUAAAUUGGAACUUUGGAAUCUUAAUAGAAAACCAACUGACUUGGCUUGGUUUUCAGGUGCUGGUUCCAUGGCUCUUCCUGAGCCGAAAAUAAGGAAACUCCAUAGACCUUGUCCACUGGAACUCGUUCCCAUCUACCCUCCACUCUAUCCAGCCCCAUGAGGACAAGGAACAUGAUUGGUUUUGCUCACUGCCGUAUCUUCCGUACCUAGUACGUAACAGGACAUCAAUAAAUAUUAGUUGAAUGGAAGAUUAAAUCAACAAAAUGGGUGAUGGAUCUCUGCAGUAAGUGGAAGAGUUCUUCAUGGCCCCCAAGGUUAUAUCCAUCUAGAACUUCAGCACGUAAUUUCAUCUGGAAAUAGUGCCUUUGCGGAUAUAAGUUAGGUAAAACUGAAGAUGAGAUCAUACUGGAUUAGGAUGGGAUCUAAAUCCAAUGAAAAUGUCUUCAUAAAAAACAGGAAAGAACCCAUAGAAACACAAGGAAGAAGGUCAUGUGAAGAUGGAGGCAGAGAUUGGAGGGAUGCAGCCACCGGCCCAGGAAUGCCAGCAGCCACCCAGAAGCUGGAAGGAAAUGAGGGAUUCUCUCCUAGAACCUUUAGAGAGAACAUGGUCCUGUGAACAGCUUGAUUUUGGACUUGCCCAUAGCUUGUAUACUCUUACUUUGGAUACAAUUUUAUCCAAACUUGGCUAAACAGUUUCUCAGCCUAUGGAAAAUUUAAAAUGGAGAAGAUUCAACUCGAUUCUUACAGAUUCAAAGCAAGAAAAUGAUGGGAACAUAGGAGGAGACCAAGAAAGCCUAUAAAAAGCAAAAAUAUGAAGUGAACAUUGUGGUAGCUUUAAGAUGUUUAGUGUAGCUGCAGGCACCCUAUACACAUGAAAACCCCCAAGGGGAAUCCCCAUAUCACAGUGUAGUGUGAUAUUUGACAUUCGUGAUCAUCUAGAGAUGUACAGAAAAGGUGAAUCUGUGUUCUGUAUAUUCUGCCUAAGGCAAAGAAAUGUUUAGCUCUCUUUAAAAUAGUUCCAUAAUUUUUUCUAAAAAGCUUUGCUUGAAAACUGUAAGCUUCCCAUAUCUGGAGCAUUUCACUUUAAAUAUUUGGAUAAAUAUGUUAUCUUCUUACUUGGACAUUUCAUGUGUUUAGGGAUUGUCUUCUAAAUUCUUCCUAAUUCAUAUAGCUGCUAACACUUCCCGCAGAGCUAAACCAUUACAGAUAUGAAAUAAAGACCUAUUGAUUUGACUUACUUUUACUUGUAAAACCUUCUGAGUGUUAUAACCUCAUUUAAUCUUUCAGCAUUUACAGUUUCAAGAGUUUGUGUCACAAUUAGAAGAAUUCAGCUGCACCUCCAAGUGACAGCAGUUGCUCUGGUUGGUGGGUGAUCUCAGGAGGCUUGAGAAUUGCUUUGUCUGUGAGGGAAGUAAGACAUUUUCAGAGCCCCACUUUAGAAGGUGUGAACUGGCUAGAUAAUGAACCCCAGGGCUAACGCUGCUAUAGCAGUGGGAAGGAGGUGAUGGGUUUUCAGUUUGGACCUCAAACAUCAAUACCCUCCUGGUACGGGGAGGAACAGAGUCCCUCCUUUACUUCUCCAUUAGAAAGAAUGAGAUGGCAAGACAAUGAAACAGGCAAAGUGAACAGAGAUGCAAGACAAAAUUCAGGUGAGAGAGCCAGAGCAUCACUCAGCCAUUCCUGACAUGUAAAACAGGCAACUAGAAAUUUGCAGAAAGGAAGCGAAGUCUCCAUAAAGAUGUUUUUAAAGUGAGCUUGAAGUAUUUGGAGACAAUUCAGUGUUACAUAAAAUCUGCAAAUCUCUGGAUAAAGAAGCAGAGAUCCCAGCAUGGGACAAAUGGAGCCUCAAAAGUGGGAAGAAGACAGAGAAGACCAGGGCAGAAUGCAUCUCUUCCUUUCUCUUGGCUUUCCUGGAUAAGGACUGCAUCAUUCCUGUGGAAGGACAGGCCAUCAGCUCCGAAACACUGUAUGUAUUUUCCAGUAUAUACUGCUAGCUGUGUGAUGUUGGGAAAAUUUGUUACCCUGUCUAACCCCCACUUCCCUCAUCUGUAAAAUGGAAAUAAUGAUAGUACCUACCUAUCUCAUAGGUGGCAACUACAAGGGGCAGCACACUCAGGGAAUUAAGGAAGUUUCAGUGAACAUCAACUUUAUGAACACAGUGUUCAUAAAGGCAGGUCAGUGCAGUGGUUUGGGAGCCAGGAGAAGCACGUGGGCCGGAGUGUGCCUGCAGGAGACAAGGUCAGAGAUGUUGCUAAUAAUGGAGAAUAAAGGAUGCAUUCUCAUUACUGACCUUGGAGUCGUUCAUUCAUUCCCAGAAUGUGUUUUGUCAGCUUACUAAAACACUAAGUUAAAUAAUCCCAGGUUUUGUUUAUU
rnacentral:lncRNA from 1 species